rnacentral:lncRNA from 1 species
GGAAGACAGACAAAUGGUAAAAAAACAAAUUUGUUGGGGAAAACAAAACUGCUGGAGAAUCAGACACACACUGGGGAGUACUCAAAGUGAAAUUUGAUAAACGACGCUUAGAAUACAAGGGAUUUCGGUAGUAAGUUCACAUAUGACUUACUAAACCCGAAUAAAGGAAAAAAAAUGCUACAACAGGUUCAUAUAUGACCUGACCACGCUGGG